rnacentral:snoRNA from 1 species
AGCAACUUCUACCCAUUGGUUGGUCAAACUAGCAUUCAUCGUUGAUCCGACUAAGAUUCAAAGUUGCCAGAUCAAAGUCCAGGCUUUACUUACCAUGCACUAGGCUGCUCUUCGAGCAUAGCCAGGGCAGAAGUAGAAGAGUCACA